UUACAGAGUGUUUACACACCCUACAACCCCUGUGAACGUACCUCUUGUUGCCUCCGCGGUGCAGCAGGCGGGAUCUGCUGCUACCCGGUAGUGGGCUACCCUGUGACGAGUGAGUUACCCGGUAGACCGCUACCCUGUAGUGCCGGGUGCCCCUCUCCCGCGAAAGGCCCUCACGAACUCUGUCAUGACCUGCAAUUCUGAAUCAAAAACAAAUAAGUUAAAACUUUCAACAACGGAUCUCUUGGUUCUGGCAUCGAUGAAGAACGCAGCGAAAUGCGAUAAGUAAUGUGAAUUGCAGAAUUCAGUGAAUCAUCGAAUCUUUGAACGCACAUUGCGCCCAUUAGUAUUCUAGUGGGCAUGCCUGUUCGAGCGUCAUUUCAACCCUUAAGCCCUGUUGCUUAGCGUUGGGAGCCUGCUGGCCUCGUGCCGGCAGCUCCUCAAAGUUAGUGGCGGAGUCGGUACACACUCUAGGCGUAGUAAUUGCUCUCUCGCCUCUGCAGCAGUGCCGGCCCCUGCCGUAAAACACCCCAAUUUUUUAAUGGUUGACCUCGGAUCAGGUAGGAAUACCCGCUGAACUUAAGCAUAUCAAUAAGCGGAGGAAAAGAAACCAACAGGGAUUGCCCUAGUAACGGCGAGUGAAGCGGCAACAGCUCAAAUUUGAAAUCUGGCCUUCUGGUCCGAGUUGUAAUUUGUAGAGGAUGAUUUUGGCGCGGCGCCUUCCGAGUUCCCUGGAACGGGACGCCUUAGAGGGUGAGAGCCCCGUACGGUUGGAUGCUAAGCCUCUGUAAAUCUCCUUCGACGAGUCGAGUAGUUUGGGAAUGCUGCUCUAAAUGGGAGGUAAAUUUCUUCUAAAGCUAAAUACCGGCCAGAGACCGAUAGCGCACAAGUAGAGUGAUCGAAAGAUGAAAAGCACUUUGAAAAGAGGGUUAAAUAGCACGUGAAAUUGUUGAAAGGGAAGCGUUUGCGACCAGACCUCUUCUGGGCGGAUCAUCGGGUGUUCUCACCCGUGCACUUCGCCCAGUCUAGGCCAGCAUCGGUUUCGGCGGGGGGAUAAAAGCUCUGUGAAUGUAGCUCCCUGGGGAGUGUUAUAGCACAUUGCAUAAUACCUCC
rnacentral:rRNA from 1 species